CUUACUCAGCUGUGUCUCAGGCUAAAGAAAAUAUCACCUAAUGUUUCUGAUAUACAGAAUUGUGUGCUGCAAAUGGUUGAAAAGAUUUUAGUUUCAACACCUAAUUCCCAUCAUUCUGUGGCAAAAUAUAUCUUGAGUUCUGAUGGGCGCCAGAGCACAUCUGAAGAUUGAAUGAAACUUCUAAAGGUGAGGAUAACAAGGCCCGUCCUGUACUUCACAGAAGACUUCUGAGGGUCAAAGAGAAGAUUUA
rnacentral:lncRNA from 1 species